CAAAACUGCAGGUGGAGGACCACCGCCAACAGAAUUGUCAGACACUACUAUACUGGUCCAAGACAUCCUUGGGGAGGACUCACCUGUCCUGGCUGGCAUCACUGGCGGCUUAGAGAGUGAAGCGACUCAACCAGAGGAAUAUAACACGGAACCUUUCCAGCAAUCAAAGCAGCUUCAACACCGACAGAGUAGCUACGCCAAACCAGGCAGCAAAAAAGAUGCAAAUACCCUCUCCAGCCUCUACAAGAGAAGAAGUGCUGGAACUGCAGAGAGACGUCCUACAGCUACAAAAGAAAAAACUGCAAUUAGAGAUCGAAAAACUUAAAAAGGAGAAGGAAAAUCAAGACAUUUACAACAUCAUUCUUAUAAUAACAAACUUUUGCAGCUACAAAGUGA